rnacentral:rRNA from 1 species
UGAGUAACGCGUGGGAAUCUGCCUCUUACUGGGGGAUAACAGUGGGAAACUACUGCUAAUACCGCAUAAGAUCUUCGGAUGAAAGGUGCAACUGCACCGGUAAGAGAUGAGCCCGCGUCCCAUUAGCUAGUUGGUGAGGUAAAGGCUCACCAAGGCGACGAUGGGUAGCCGGCCUGAGAGGGUGAACGGCCACACUGGGACUGAGACACGGCCCAGACUCCUACGGGAGGCAGCAGUAGGGAAUCUUCCGCAAUGGGCGCAAGCCUGACGGAGCGACGCCGCGUGAGUGAUGAAGGCCUUCGGGUCGUAAAGCUCUGUUCUUGAGGACGAAUAAGCCAGGGAGUGGAAAGCCCUGGUGAUGACUGUACUCAAGGAGAAAGCUCCGGCUAACUACGUGCCAGCAGCCGCGGUAAUACGUAGGGAGCUAGCGUUGUCCGGAAUUACUGGGUGUAAAGGGCGCGCAGGCGGUUUCAUAAGUCAGGUGUGAA